rnacentral:rRNA from 1 species
CGUAGGUGGCAAGCGUUAUCCGGAUUUACUGGGUGUAAAGGGCGCGUAGGCGGGAGAACAAGUCAGAUGUGAAAUGUGGGGGCUUAACCCUCAAGCUGCAUUUGAAACUGUACUUCUUGAGUAUCGGAGAGGCAGGCGGAAUUCCUAGUGUAGCGGUGAAAUGCGUAGAUAUUAGGAGGAACACCAGUGGCGAAGGCGGCCUGCUGGACGACAACUGACGCUGAGGCGCGAAAGCGUGGGGAGCAAACAGGAUUAGAUACCCUGGUAGUCCACGCUGUAAACGAUGAAUACUAGGUGUGGGGACCGUUAGGUUUCUGUGCCGGAGCGAACGCAAUAAGUAUUCCGCCUGGGGAGUACGGCCGCAAGGUUG